CAGUUCAUUUCAUACAAUAGUAUUCCAUUACAACAACGAUUAAUUAAGCUCUUCUACAAGAACAAAAUCAACAGAAACGAACCAUAUUAUAAAAAGAUGUGACAAGACAUUUUAAUUUAAUUAACCGUGACUUGUCCAACCAUACCAGCUCCUGCAUGAGGUGAACAGUAGAAUUUGUAUGUUCCCUUAGCAUCCAAAGUAACACUGUAAGUCUCACCAGGAGCAUUGAGAAGAUCUUCUUCAGGCAUGGAAAUUUUUGCAGCAUCAACCCCACUUGGAAUCUCGUCUUCAUCGAAGAUAACGUUGUGAGGAAAACCAGCAUUGUUCUUGAAUACAAUAGUGUCACCAGCACUUACUGUGAAAUUGUUUGGAACAAAAGCCAAACCCCCAUCACUAGCACCAAGCAACACUUCAACAGCCAUAGCAUUGCUAGCUAGCAUUGCACUUGCAGCAGUAGCAACAACAGCAACUCCAAUAUCUUUGAGUGAAGCUCUCACACAAAGCCUUGGUAAUUGAGAAGUUGAAGUUGGAAUCUUAGCUAUGGAAUUAACUUUGACUGCGUUAACCUUAAGGCCUGAGAAUGAUGGAAUAGCAACGGUGGUGGAAGUGACUG
rnacentral:lncRNA from 1 species